CGGCGAGUGAAGCGGCAAAAGCUCAAAUUUGAAAUCUGGCACUUUCAGUGUCCGAGUUGUAAUUUGAAGAAGGUAACUCUGGAGUUGGCCCUUGUCUAUGUUCCUUGGAACAGGACGUCACAGAGGGUGAGAAUCCCGUGCGAUGGGGUGUCCAAUUCUAUGUAGAGUGCUUUCGAAGAGUCGAGUUGUUUGGGAAUGCAGCUCUAAGUGGGUGGUAAAUUCCAUCUAAAGCUAAAUAUUGGCGAGAGACCGAUAGCGAACAAGUACAGUGAUGGAAAGAUGAAAAGAACUUUGAAAAGAGAGUGAAAAAGUACGUGAAAUUGUUGAAAGGGAAGGGCUUGAGAUCAGACUCGGUAUUUUGCGAUCCUAUCCUUCGUGGAGAGGUUUCAUUUGCAGCUUACCGGGCCAGCAUCGGUUUGGAUGGUAGGAUAAUGACAUUGGAAUGUGGCUCUUCGGAGUGUUAUAGCCCUUGUUGAUACUGCCUAUCUAGACCGAGGACUGCGUCUUUGACUAGGAUGCUGGCAUAAUGAUCUUAAGCCGCCCGUCUUGA
rnacentral:rRNA from 1 species